rnacentral:lncRNA from 1 species
CUUCAACAGGCCACAAUAGUUUCAUUUGAGACAAACUCUAAUUCCAUGUAAUAUAUGUUUAAUGUGUGAUGUGCAAAGUGUGUUUGUGUGUGUGUGUCUGUGUAUGCAUAGACACAUCCGUGCGUGUCUGUUUAUCUCAUAGGGAUCUUGGUUUUACACCCAAGAAAAAAGUAUGGCUUCUCUUAAUUCUGCUUCUUCUUACCAGCCCUUAGAAUUCAACCUGCUUCCUGUCACAGAAAGGUAUAUGACUAUCUUAAAAUAUGAUUUUAUUAGCCC